AUAUGUCCAUUGCAGGUUUUACUGGUUGUGGAGAGAGAGAUCAUUUUUCUAGAUUCUGUACUCCCUGGUGGUUUUGGAGAUGACUCGUACAAAACGAUAUUUAGGUUAAGAGAGAGGAAAAAGUUGCCCUUGUUCAGUGGCUUUUACCAAUAAUAUUUUACGCAAGAGCCAUGUUCUGUGGCUGCUGAUUUACACAAAAGCCUUGUUCUAUGGCUGAUGAUUUACAAAAAGCCUUGUUCUAUGGCUGAAAAUUAACAAAAAGCCUUGUUCUAUGGCUGAUGAUUUAUAAAAAGCCUUGUUCUAUGGCUGAAAAUUAACAAAAAGCCUUGUUCUAUGGCUGAUGAUUUACAAAAAGCCUUGUUCUAUGGCUGAAAAUUAACAAAAAGCCUUGUUCUAUGGCUGAUGAUUUACAAAAAGCCUUGUUCUAUGGCUGAAAAUUAACAAAAAGCCUUGUUCUAUGGCUAAUGAUUUACAAAAAGCCUUGUUCUAUGGCUGAUGAUUUACAAAAAGCCUUGUUCUAUGGCUGCUUAUUUAUAGCUUUGUUCUUUUGUUUUAUGUUUACGCAGAAGCCUUGUUCGAUGGCUGUAGGAUUAGGUCUCAUUUUAUGAAACUAGACCAUGGAGAACAAUUGUAUGACUAUAGGUUUCAGUAAGUGUGUGUCCAUAAUUAAUUCUUUUUCCCAUUUUAUGUGCAGACAUAUUGCAGGCCAGAUUGACCCAAGACCCUGGACAGAGAAGACCGGCAGAAGUUUUGAUCACUUCCCUCAACAAACUUCUGGGAACUACUGUGGCAUCCUUAUACUCAUUUAUGCCCUCUGUAUCUGCACCAAUACCCCAUUUAUCUUCACAGAGGUAAGUUGCAUCUAUUAAUAUAGAAAAAAUAUUUCAAACCCCACCCCAAUUGUCUGAUCAUUGUUAUAUAUGUUUUAGAAUGAUGUGCCAUUAAUCCGCCAGUGGUGGUGCAUCCUACUGAUGGAAAGAUUUCAGAUUGAAGGG